UUUACCAUGUGCCCAGGUCACGGGCCUUUCUCCCAUCUGUUUCAUGGGAAGUUCCUCCCUGAAGUGGACCCUGAGAGAAAUUGGAAGCAUGAGAUGGCCUCCGUGCAGAUGUUUGAUUACUUGCUCCAGGAGAACUAUCUGCCACCAGUGAUGGAGCAACAUGGGCUGAUUUUGCCUGAGGAUCUUGAUUUCAUUAAAGAGUUGAUCACUGGCCCACUAGAGCAGCAUAUCCAAUUCAGCCAAGAACAGCCCACAUGGCUAUAUAAAGGCAGGUCAGAAGAAAAGUGCUUUCUGUAUGAGAUUGUGGCGAACAAGAGGACUGGCAUUGAUGUGGACAAAUAGGACUAUUUUGCCAGGUAUGAGUGAGACUGCUCCACCAGGUAUGAGUUAGACUGCUCCACCAGGUAUGAGUGAGGCUGUUCCACCAGGUAUGAGUGAGGCUGUUCCACCAGGUAUGAGUGAGACUGUUCCACCAGGUAAGAGUGAGGCUGUUCCACCAGGUAUGAGUGAGACUUUUCUGCCUGGUGAAA